UACGUAGGGUGCAAGCGUUGUCCGGAAUUAUUGGGCGUAAAGAGCUCGUAGGCGGUCUGUCGCGUCUGCUGUGAAAAUCCAGGGCUCAACCCUGGACCUGCAGUGGGUACGGGCAGACUAGAGUGCGGUAGGGGAGAUCGGAAUUCCUGGUGUAGCGGUGAAAUGCGCAGAUAUCAGGAGGAACACCGGUGGCGAAGGCGGUGGUCUGGGCCGGCACUGACGCUGAGGAGCGAAAGCGUGGGUAGCAAACAGG
rnacentral:rRNA from 1 species